rnacentral:rRNA from 1 species
UACAGAGGUCUCAAGCGUUGUUCGGAUUCAUUGGGCGUAAAGCGCACGUAGGCGGGUCGUUAAGUCAGGGGUGAAAUCCUGGAGCUCAACUCCAGAACUGCCCUUGAUACUGGCGAUCUCGAGUUCGGGAGAGGUGAGUGGAACUGCGAGUGUAGAGGUGAAAUUCGUAGAUAUUCGCAAGAACACCAGUGGCGAAGGCGGCUCACUGGCCCGGUACUGACGCUGAGGCACGAAAGCGUGGGGAGCAAACAGGG